GUGGUGGCCUAGUGGUAACAGCAUCUGUCUUGGAUGCAGGAAAUUGCAGGUUCAAACCCUGGCUGAGACA